rnacentral:rRNA from 1 species
AAUAUUUGACAAUGGGCGAAAGCCUGAUCCAGCCAUGCCGCGUGUGUGAAGAAGGUCUUCGGAUUGUAAAGCACUUUAAGUUGGGCGGAAGGGCAGUAUGUUUAUACUUUGUUUUUUUGCCGUUUCCUCCCGAAUAAGCCCCGGUCAACUUCGUCCCGCAAGCCGCGGUAAUACGAAGGGUGCAGGCGUUACUCGGAAUUACUGGGCGUAAAGCACGCGUAGGUGGUUUGUUAAGUAGGAAGUGAAAGACCCGGGCUCAACCUGGGAACUGCUUUCAAAACUGGCAAGCUAGAGUAUGGCAGAGGGUGGUGGAAUUUCCUGUGUAGCGGUGAAAUGCGUAGAUAUAGGAAGGAACAACAGUGGCGAAGGCGACCACCUGGGCUAAUACUGACACUGAGGUGCGAAAGCGUGGGGAGCAAAC